rnacentral:lncRNA from 1 species
CCGGAACCUUCUGGUGCAGAACCUUCCUUGGUAUCUGAGGUUGACGACGUGCCCUGGGGGCUGCAGAAUCCCCCUCCCCCAAGAAAGGCGGGGCUUCCUACCAGUCUCUGGUCAGGAAGGGACUCCCACCCAGGCCUAGGGCCAUGCAGUCUGGGCCUGGGGCUAGCCCCUCACAACUGUCCAUCCAUGUCAAACUCCCAUAUCCGUAACGUCCUGGGAAUUUUUGAGAAACCCCCCUCUUCCCUCGCAUUCGACCAAGCCAGAGCCUGACGCCAAGACCCCAGGAAGGUGAGUCCUGGCUUCUCCUCUCCUGUCAAAGGACCUGCCAGGGGCCGUCCUCAGGCACACCUCCCUGUCCUGUAUCGGGACUCUCCUCAGGCCAGGCCCUGUCUCUCAGUAGGGGACAGGCUCUGGGUCAGCUGUUCCUGCCCAGGCAGUCUCAACAUCAAAGCUACGGUGACGGUCCAUGUGCACCCAUCACGCUGAGCUCAGCUCUGUGAACACGUGGAGGGGAGGCCAGCUUGAGCACCGCUGCCUGAUCAAGUGGCCUGUGAGUCCCUAGGCCUGAGGAGGGCAUCGCUCAACGGAGAGAAACAGCUCAGGUGGUGGGGAGAGGCAGUGUGCCCACAGGCCCCUCCCCAGAGGGCUGCUUGAUGGGCAGGUGUGCACACAGGUGUGCACACAGGUGUGCAGGGCCCUGGGCAGGGCUGCUCCACUCCAGGCUCUGGGUCCUCAUCAGGGAAGUGGUGGUGGCCUGCCCACCCCCUGGGGAGGACCCUGGAGCUGCCCCUGGGACCUCUGGUAAGCAGGACAGAGCUGGAGGCUGAGGCCCUGAGCUCAGAUGUGAGGAGCUGGUUGGGAACCCAGGGCAAGCGGUAGCUCUGCUGACGGGGCUGAAGGCCCCGCGUUGUGCCCUGUCCUCCCCGCAG